UACGUAGGGUCCUAGCGUUGUCCGGAUUUAUUGGGCGUAAAGAGCUCGUAGGCGGCUUGUCGCGUCGAAUGUGAAAACUCGGGGCUCAACUCCGAGCUUGCAUUCGAUACGGGCAGGCUAGAGUUCGGUAGGGGAGACUGGAAUUCCUGGUGUAGCGGUGAAAUGCGCAGAUAUCAGGAGGAACACCAAUGGCGAAGGCAGCACUCUGGGACGGUACUGACGCUGAGACGCGAAAGCGUGGGGAGCAAACAGG
rnacentral:rRNA from 1 species